rnacentral:ncRNA from 1 species
CUUUAGGCGAUGAAGGGACGAGUAGUAAGUAAAGACUUUUAAGAGAGCUGGUGGGUGGUGCGAACCAGUAAGUUUUACUUACGAAAUCCAUCCUGGAGCUAGGGUGUAAUGACCUUCGGGCGACCGUUAAAUCAUGUGGAGGGCCCAAUUUUUGGGCCGAAAGAGGGUGGCAACACGGGGUUCCCGUCCCUUUG